UCUGGCGGCUGUAGCGCGGUGGUCCCACCUGACCCCAUGCCGAACUCAGAAGUGAAACGCCGUAGCGCCGAUGGUAGUGUGGGGUCUCCCCAUGUGAGAGUAGGGAACUGCCAGGC
rnacentral:rRNA from 1 species